rnacentral:rRNA from 1 species
AGCGUACACGGUGGAUGCCCUGGCAGUCAGAGGCGAUGAAGGACGUGCUAAUCUGCGAUAAGCGUCGGUAAGGUGAUAUGAACCGUUAUAACCGGCGAUUUCCGAAUGGGGAAACCCAGUGUGUUUCGACACACUAUCAUUAACUGAAUCCAUAGGUUAAUGAGGCGAACCGGGGGAACUGAAACAUCUAAGUACCCCGAGGAAAAGAAAUCAACCGAGAUUCCCCCAGUAGCGGCGAGCGAACGGGGAGGAGCCCAGAGCCUGAAUCAGUGUGUGUGUUAGUGGAAGCGUCUGGAAAGGCGCGCGAUACAGGGUGACAGCCCCGUACACAAAAAUGCACAUACUGUGAGCUCGAUGAGUAGGGCGGGACACGUGGUAUCCUGUCUGAAUAUGGGGGGACCAUCCUCCAAGGCUAAAUACUCCUGACUGACCGAUAGUGAACCAGUACCGUGAGGGAAAGGCGAAAAGAACCCCGGCGAGGGGAGUGAAAAAGAACCUGAAACCGUGUACGUACAAGCAGUGGGAGCCUCUUAAUGGGGUGACUGCGUACCUUUUGUAUAAUGGGUCAGCGACUUAUAUUCUGUAGCAAGGUUAACCGAAUAGGGGAGCCGAAGGGAAACCGAGUCUUAACUGGGCGUUAAGUUGCAGGGUAUAGACCCGAAACCCGGUGAUCUAGCCAUGGGCAGGUUGAAGGUUGGGUAACACUAACUGGAGGACCGAACCGACUAAUGUUGAAAAAUUAGCGGAUGACUUGUGGCUGGGGGUGAAAGGCCAAUCAAACCGGGAGAUAGCUGGUUCUCCCCGAAAGCUAUUUAGGUAGCGCCUCGUGAAUUCAUCUCCGGGGGUAGAGCACUGUUUCGGCAAGGGGGUCAUCCCGACUUACCAACCCGAUGCAAACUGCGAAUACCGGAGAAUGUUAUCACGGGAGACACACGGCGGGUGCUAACGUCCGUCGUGAAGAGGGAAACAACCCAGACCGCCAGCUAAGGUCCCAAAGUCAUGGUUAAGUGGGAAACGAUGUGGGAAGGCCCAGACAGCCAGGAUGUUGGCUUAGAAGCAGCCAUCAUUUAAAGAAAGCGUAAUAGCUCACUGGUCGAGUCGGCCUGCGCGGAAGAUGUAACGGGGCUAAACCAUGCACCGAAGCUGCGGCAGCGACGUUUAUGCGUUGUUGGGUAGGGGAGCGUUCUGUAAGCCUGCGAAGGUGUACUGUGAGGUAUGCUGGAGGUAUCAGAAGUGCGAAUGCUGACAUAAGUAACGAUAAAGCGGGUGAAAAGCCCGCUCGCCGGAAGACCAAGGGUUCCUGUCCAACGUUAAUCGGGGCAGGGUGAGUCGACCCCUAAGGCGAGGCCGAAAGGCGUAGUCGAUGGGAAACAGGUUAAUAUUCCUGUACUUGGUGUUACUGCGAAGGGGGGACGGAGAAGGCUAUGUUGGCCGGGCGACGGUUGUCCCGGUUUAAGCGUGUAGGCUGGUUUUCCAGGCAAAUCCGGAAAAUCAAGGCUGAGGCGUGAUGACGAGGCACUACGGUGCUGAAGCAACAAAUGCCCUGCUUCCAGGAAAAGCCUCUAAGCAUCAGGUAACAUCAAAUCGUACCCCAAACCGACACAGGUGGUCAGGUAGAGAAUACCAAGGCGCUUGAGAGAACUCGGGUGAAGGAACUAGGCAAAAUGGUGCCGUAACUUCGGGAGAAGGCACGCUGAUAUGUAGGUGAAGUCCCUCGCGGAUGGAGCUGAAAUCAGUCGAAGAUACCAGCUGGCUGCAACUGUUUAUUAAAAACACAGCACUGUGCAAACACGAAAGUGGACGUAUACGGUGUGACGCCUGCCCGGUGCCGGAAGGUUAAUUGAUGGGGUUAGCGGUAACGCGAAGCUCUUGAUCGAAGCCCCGGUAAACGGCGGCCGUAACUAUAACGGUCCUAAGGUAGCGAAAUUCCUUGUCGGGUAAGUUCCGACCUGCACGAAUGGCGUAAUGAUGGCCAGGCUGUCUCCACCCGAGACUCAGUGAAAUUGAACUCGCUGUGAAGAUGCAGUGUACCCGCGGCAAGACGGAAAGACCCCGUGAACCUUUACUAUAGCUUGACACUGAACAUUGAGCCUUGAUGUGUAGGAUAGGUGGGAGGCUUUGAAGUGUGGACGCCAGUCUGCAUGGAGCCGGCCUUGAAAUACCACCCUUUAAUGUUUGAUGUUCUAACGUUGGCCCCUGAUCGGGGUUGCGGACAGUGUCUGGUGGGUAGUUUGACUGGGGCGGUCUCCUCCUAAAGAGUAACGGAGGAGCACGAAGGUUGGCUAAUCCUGGUCGGACAUCAGGAGGUUAGUGCAAUGGCAUAAGCCAGCUUGACUGCGAGCGUGACGGCGCGAGCAGGUGCGAAAGCAGGUCAUAGUGAUCCGGUGGUUCUGAAUGGAAGGGCCAUCGCUCAACGGAUAAAAGGUACUCCGGGGAUAACAGGCUGAUACCGCCCAAGAGUUCAUAUCGACGGCGGUGUUUGGCACCUCGAUGUCGGCUCAUCACAUCCUGGGGCUGAAGUAGGUCCCAAGGGUAUGGCUGUUCGCCAUUUAAAGUGGUACGCGAGCUGGGUUUAGAACGUCGUGAGACAGUUCGGUCCCUAUCUGCCGUGGGCGCUGGAGAACUGAGGGGGGCUGCUCCUAGUACGAGAGGACCGGAGUGGACGCAUCACUGGUGUUCGGGUUGUCAUGCCAAUGGCACUGCCCGGUAGCUAAAUGCGGAAGAGAUAAGUGCUGAAAGCAUCUAAGCACGAAACUUGCCCCGAGAUGAGUUCU